rnacentral:rRNA from 1 species
UACGGAAGGCAGCAGUGGGGAAUAUUGCACAAUGGGCGCAAGCCUGAUGCAGCCAUGCCGCGUGUAUGAAGAAGGCCUUCGGGUUGUAAAGUACUUUCAGCGGGGAGGAAGGCGAUGCGGUUAAUAACCGCGUCGAUUGACGUUACCCGCAGAAGAAGCACCGGCUAACUCCGUGCCAGCAGCCGCGGUAAUACGGAGGGUGCAAGCGUUAAUCGGAAUUACUGGGCGUAAAGCGCACGCAGGCGGUCUGUUAAGUCAGAUGUGAAAUCCCCGGGCUUAACCUGGGAACUGCAUUUUGAAACUGGCAGGCUUGAGUCUUGUAGAGGGGGUAGAAUUCCAGGUGUAGCGGUGAAAUGCGUAGAGAUCUGGAGGAAUACCGGUGGCGAAGGCGGGCCCCUGGGACAAAGACUGACGCUCAGGUGCGAAAGCGUGGGGAGCAAACGAGGAUUAGAUACC